rnacentral:lncRNA from 1 species
GAUCAGACUCCCUCAGGUUGUCUUUUAACUUACACACACACACACACACUUGUAUAUGGACACAGACAAAUAAAUGAACAAACUGUAACAAGUAAUAUUCAUCUUUAAAUGUAAACUUAAAUAUGAGAUCACUCACUCGAGCCCACAAAAUUGAGAUCAGCCUUUGUAACAAUGAGAUACUGUAGUAAAAAAUAAAAGAAAUUAUUUCUAGGUUUUUUUUCUUUGUAUUUUUUUUUUCUGAGACAGAGACUUUUUGUGUAGUCAAGGCUAGCCCUGAACUUGAUGUGAGCCUCCUGGAAUCACAGGCCUGUGCCAACACAUGUAUAUAUUUGUUAUUUUUAGUAUUUCUUUUAAAAGUAUACCAUUUGUGUUUUGCAUAUGUAAUAUUCUCUCUUAGAUGCCUUAGGAUAGCAAUGAUAGCUCUUUAGAUUUUGACUUUUUUAGGUAGUAAUUUUAGACUUAAAGAAAAGUUGAGUGGGAAUAUUCCACAGAGAGCUCUGCACACUUUUGACUAAGCUUCACUCAGUACGGACAUCUCACAUGGUCACAGUACCUUUAUCAAACCUAAGAAGUUAACAUUGGAUAUUGCGUGUGCUUACUGACAGGACAUUUACCCAGCCUCUGGAGGCUUUGGGUUGCUCAGUCCCAACACACACACACACACACACACACACACACACACACACACACACACACACACACAAGAAGCAGUAGAAAUUCUCAUUAGAGAGUAUUGUUUGCUGCAGACAUUUUUCAGACUUUACCCCUCUACCCACAUAGGGUUUUCCUGUCAGGUAGCUCAAUCAUGGUACUGCUUUGAGUGUGGUGGUUAUGUACUUUCUCUGUGAAAGUUUUUAACCUUUCUCAGUGACUUUCAAGUUUGAAGACUGUCCUUCAAUUUGAAUUGGUCUAGUAUUUUCUCAUGGACUGACUAGGGUUUUGUGACUGGAGGGAGUAAACACAGAAGUGGAAUUGAGCCCUUCUAUCUUUCUAUUUUAUCCCCAUAGUUAUAUUUUGUUUUUCAUACUCUUUGGUUAUGUGGUUUUUGACUUUACAAGUGGUUAUUUGUUCUUGAUUCUUUCAUUUGGAUACUUUUUCAGACAUCUGGUAAUAAUAAUACUUAGUUGCCUGCUUGUAUUUUAGAAGGUGGAUGGAAGAGGUGAUGAGAGCUUGUGACAGUUUGGGCCUUACUGACUGUUAGCUGCAUCGAAGGACCAUCUGGUGGGAAACUUAGGCACCUCAGUGUUGCAAGCUUAAGGUCCCUGCAUUCUCUAACACCUCCAUCCUACCCAACCCCAGUGUUUCAGCUGUUCAGAGUCUACAAAAGCUCCUGUGAGGUCUUACUAUGUUUACUUCAUGUACCCAGCUUUAGUGUGGUAAGGGUACCUUUUCCUCUUGUUGGUAUUCUCCAGCCUGGAACCUGACCCUUGCUGGAGAGCGAGCCGUAGCCUUUGGUCCGGCUGGUAGCCGGCCUCCGUAGCCUUUGGUCCGGCUGGUUGCUGGCCUCCUGAGAUUCGGGGAAGUGGAAAUGAUCAGAAGCUUCUGAAACAAGCUCAGCUGGUCCUUGCUUUACUUAGUUCCUUCAUGUGCAUAGGUGAAAUGCUUUGGAGAUUCUGUGUGACUUUUGGCUUUGUGGGUUUACCUAGUUACUUAGUACUUUUCCUGCUUUCCCAGAAUAUAUCUGGCUGUUUGUAGAUAUUGAACCAAAAACUAAAUUUCUUAAUUUUUUAUACAUUUACUGUGUGUGUCUGUGUCUGUGUCUGUGAGGGAGUGGGGGAGAGAAGACAUACAUACCUCACAUAUGGGGGGGGGGGGAAUUGAGCUUACAUAUGUGGAAGUCAACUUUCAGGAGUCCUUUUAUUUUGUGGAACUCAGAUCUUCAGACUUGGUGGCAAGUACAUUUUACUGAGCCAUCUAACCUCCUACCAACAACUAAAUCCUAUUUUUUUCUUUAAAAAAAGGUUAGCUAUUUUAUUAGGGUUUGUGCUUGUGUAAGCCAUAGCAUACCUGUGGAGGUCAGAGGACAACUUGCUAUGUGGAUUCUGGGAUUUAAUUUAGAUUGCCAGAUUUUGUAUAAGUCAUCUUUUUUAUGUUUUAGAAAAGGUCUCAUGUGGCCCAGGCUGGUUGGGAAUUGACCAUCCUUCUACCUUAGACUUUCAGACACUAGUAUUAUCAACUGAAUUUAAAAUUAAAAUAUCUAGGGUAGGGUCAAUAUUAUCAAAGCAUGUUGUAUGAAACGCCCAAAAGAACCAAUCUUUAAAAAUCUGGGGCUAGAGAGGUGGCUCAUCAGUUAUUAGCAUUGGCUACUCUUUCAAGUG